ensembl:lncRNA novel transcript
ACAGGUGGGUGAAGUUAAGUGGCUGCUGGAGCGUCUCGGGGGACAGCCAGUGUCUGCGGCGCCGAGAGGGCCGUUCGUGGACUCAAAUGGACAGGGUCUCUGUCACCCAGGCUAGAGUGCAGUGACUUGAUCAAGCUCACAGCAGCCUCCAUCUCCUGGGGUCCAGCAAUCCUCGCACCUCAGCCUCCUGAGUAGCUAGGACUACAGAUAAUCAAGCUAAGCACACAGGAUGACUGCCCAAGAAGCAAGUGACCGCAAUGGUGAAGCUGGGCCUCCACCCUGCCGUCUGGCUGACUUCAAGGCCUGCACAGCCUCUUAAGCCGCAUCCUGCUUGCUGCCUCCAAGCUUUCCUGACUGCAGCCUUUUCUCCAGUCACUUUUGAUAGAGGAGUUAAGAAGAAAUUACUUAGGCAGAUAGUGAGGGUAUGGAAGUCCUCGGUAAGGUUUUCCUUUUAAUGAAAAGCAGCCCCAAAUCAUUUUCCUUUCUAACAAACAGCAGCCUGUAAAAUCAAGCUGCAGACAUAGAUGCCGGCAGUUGUGCCAAUCAUGUUCAGAAUGGUGGCUCCCUUCUCCCUUCUCUGCCAGCCAUAUGUACAGUAAGGAGCAGACAACAUGGCUCGGGCCAAGGGUAAAGUUGAUUUGCAUAAUAAGAUUAGGGUGGGGCCCACCAGCCUUCCCCUGCACUAUGUAAACAUCACGCCUGACUGAACCAAUCUGUGAGCCCUAUGUAAAUCAGACAAUGCCUUCUCAAGCCUGACUAUAAAAUCCUGUGAGUCCACUGCCAGCCAGUCUUUCCUCUGGGAAGCCCCUCUCUCUCCCUAGAGAGAGCUGGUUUCCUUUCUCCUUUCUUUUUCUUUUGCAUAUUAAACUUCCACUCCUAAACUC